CUUAGGUAGGAAACGCUGUCGGACCCUGACGUACAGACGGGUGAUUAAUCAACCGAACGUUGUAAAAGAUCACGGUUGGUCAAGAGGGAACUGGCCAGGUGUAUUG